rnacentral:rRNA from 1 species
AGAGUUUGAUCCUGGCUCAGGACGAACGCUGGCGGCGUGCUUAACACAUGCAAGUCGAGCGGUAAGGCCCUUUCGGGGGUACACGAGCGGCGAACGGGUGAGUAACACGUGGGUGACCUGCCCUCAGCUCUGGGAUAAGCCCGGGAAACUGGGUCUAAUACCGGAUAUGACUCCACGGUGCAUGUCGUGGGGUGGAAAGCCUUGUGCGGCUGAGGAUGGGCCCGCGGCCUAUCAGCUUGUUGGUGGGGUGAUGGCCUACCAAGGCGACGACGGGUAGCCGGCCUGAGAGGGCGACCGGCCACACUGGGACUGAGACACGGCCCAGACUCCUACGGGAGGCAGCAGUGGGGAAUCUUGCGCAAUGGGCGAAAGCCUGACGCAGCGACGCCGCGUGAGGGAUGACGGCCUUCGGGUUGUAAACCUCUUUCAGCUCCGACGAAGCGGAAGUGACGGUAGGAGCAGAAGAAGCACCGGCCAACUACGUGCCAGCAGCCGCGGUAAUACGUAGGGUGCAAGCGUUGUCCGGAAUUAUUGGGCGUAAAGAGCUCGUAGGCGGUCUGUCGCGUCGGCUGUGAAAACUCGGGGCUCAACUCCGAGCUUGCAGUCGAUACGGGCAGGCUAGAGUUCGGCAGGGGAGACUGGAAUUCCUGGUGUAGCGGUGAAAUGCGCAGAUAUCAGGAGGAACACCGGUGGCGAAGGCGGGUCUCUGGGCCGAUACUGACGCUGAGGAGCGAAAGCGUGGGGAGCGAACAGGAUUAGAUACCCUAGUAGUCC